GCUCGGAGGGGUUAAAGAAGCGAAGCUCGCACCAAGCGGAGCUGGAGCGGAGCAGAUUUGAGCCGGGGGAGCCAAUGAGGCAGCAACAUUUGAAACAAAGCAGCCAGUCAAGGGCCCGCUCCUGGAAACGGGGCAGGACGGAGGAAGCCCCGCGGCUCUCCCGGCGCUUCCCGGUCCCGCGAAGCCAGGGCAUGGCGCUGGGAGCACGGUGCUGGAGCCAAACGCGCCACGGGCAGGCUGGGCUGGCGUUGGCACCCCGGAAUAUUCAGGGAUCAAAGUACCUGCUGCAGCACCGCCGGCCUGCUAACGGGCGCCUGGAAGCCUUCCGAGAAUCGCGUCAGAAAUUAAAAUAAAAAGAGAUCGUCGGGUGGAAAGGAGCCUCUCCCAGCCCAAACUCCCCGGGGGCACCCUCACGUUCCUUGUUUCAUCCUCUGGAGAGGAGCAGCAGCAGCGGAGCUGACUGGGAGCGCGCUCACGCCGCCGCGUCUCUCUUGGCGCAAGAGGCGAAAGCCGCUCGUCCUUCCGCAGAGCGACGCCUCUGAUGCCGGCAGCGACAAGCAGCAGCUCAGAAAUCUCCGAUUUCCAACUCUUCAGACUACAAAACUCCAGCAGCUGCUCUCCUGGGCUGCCAGGAGCACAAAGAGCCCCUAGCAUCAAUUUCAGAGCCUUGUGAAACACGCUCAUUAAUUCGCAGAAAGAUAAAAGGACUUCAAAGGCACGGUUCCAGCCCCCAAAUCUCUCCGAAUUCGAACCAAAUCAGCAAGAGCACCUCUUCCCAACCCCUGCCCUGCGGACGGCCCCGGACCCGCGGUGCGGGGGGGAUUAAUUCGGGUUCGGGGACGACGAGGGCUUUGCCUGCUUUCUGCAGCCACCCAGCGCGGUUCAGGCUUCGGGUGAGAAACUCCUCUGGCUUUUUCCACCCACGCAGAGCCCGCGGGGUUGCCCGGCGAUGACUCAGGGUCGACGGGCUCAAAACGCCGGUUUCUGGGAACCUCUCGCGGCUCUCGUCCUGCGUCGCUGCGCGAGGAGGAGCGAGUCCCCCGGCGGAUGGUCUGGGAGGACGGCGAAGGCCUCCCAGGAGGUGCCAGAGGAGAAGGUGCCAGGUGGAAAAGGAUUCACCUCCUUCGCGCUACCACGCUCAAAAAAAAUCGGCGAGGGAAGAAGGAACGGCCGAGGUGAGCGGAUUCCCGACGCCCUCCGCAUGUUCCGUACCAACAGAAACCUCGGGAGAGGCCGGCCAGGCCCCGGCACUUCCACCAGCUGGGGAAAAAGCCACAUCGGAGCACCCGGCCCCACCGCCACCGUCCCCUCCAGGCGGGCUCAGGGCACACGCUGCCCUUUGGGCUCAAAAAGUGAGUUUUUGGUGAACACCCUUCUCGGGAGAGCUGCUGUGGAAGCGCGAGCAGCGUCACCACGGCGUGGAAAACCUCCCGCGGCCGCGCCUGCAUUGGAAGGGGGUUAACCAAACCCUCAAGGAGGAUUUCAAGGGGAUUUAAAGAAAGGAAAAAGGCUCCCGGUGUGUAUCUGGCAUCGCCUCCUCCCACCCCGCCAAGGACAAACAGGUUUUUCCGUGCGCCUUCGGUCGAGGGCGGAGGAGCCGCACGCGAUCGCUAUCUGCCAACUCUCCUCCAGUGAAGCCAGCGGGGAACACACGGAGCCGGCCGGGCUCGCCGGGAUCCUGCGGCUGAGGAGGGAAACGAAGAGGGAGUGCAGCCCGGCCGAGGUCCUGGAGGCUCGUGGCAGCCCCCGAGCAGCCGGUGACGAGGAUUUGAACGUGAAGCGGCGCCGGGCUCGGCUCCUAGAGCUCACAGGGCCGCCAAGGAGGCUCCGGGAGGUGCGAGGGACGCGGGAGCCCGGCUGGAGCCUUCCCCAAAUCCGCCUCCGAGAGCCUCUGCAGGGCAGGGGCCGGCAGCACGGCACGCCAAGAAUGCGGGGAAGGGCUGACACGGCCGGCUCCGGCCAGCACGUUAAUUACACGCUGCUAACGAGCCACCGGGCGCUGCGCCUGAUGGACGGGGCAGGGGGGCCACACUGGAGCUCCCCAGGCCCCAACCCAGAGCUCCCCUGGCCCCAGCCCGCUACCGAGAAGUCCAUUUCUGCCAUUUACAGCUUGGUGCUAAUUAAACUGCGAGCUGAUUAGCCGAGGCAAACCUUUAAUUAGCCUCUUACAGCACUGACAAAAAUUACAGCUCAUCUGCGCCGCGUAAGAGCACGACACGGGGAGAGGAAGAGGGGAGCGAGCGCAGCUCAGGAGAGUUUCAUUGUUCGUUACAGCCGGCUUUUUAUUAAAACAGGCGUUAAUUAAUCACCUCCCGGGGGGGGGCAGCGGCGUUCGUGGAUCCCCCGAUCCC